GUCCGCGGCUCGCCCGGUGGGGCAGCUGCUAGAGGGCAGGAGCGCUCCCUCCCUCCGCGCUUGCACCCUCAGUGCCCGGCCGGUAGUAGCAGCGUCCCCCGCCUUUAGCUCUGGGACGCCGCACAAGCGGAGCCCCCAGACAGCACCUGCGCGCAGCCGCCCUGCGGGCUCUGUCAAGAUUCGCCGCCCCCAGCCGCCAGCCCCGCCCCCCGCCCCCUGCCCCACCGCAGAUAAAGAUGAAGCGAUUCCCCGAACGGAGCAGAGGUCCGGCCCACGGCGGCUCCCCAGCCAGCCCCAGCUUCCCCAAGGCCUUCUGCUUGUUCCCUCUCUCCCGAAGGCCGAGAUGUCCGGCUCCCUCGUCCCGGUUCUCCUCUUCGCCGCCGCUCUAGUUCCUGCUGGCCGGACGGCCGUCGCCCUGGAGCAGAGGCCCAUCUCCAUCACCCGAAAUGCCAAGCAGUCCGCCAGUCUGAACUGCAAGAUUCUGAACCCCGUCUCCGAUUACGUCCACUGGUACCGCUCCCAGGAGGGCAGGGCCCCCGAGCGGCUGCUCGUCUACUCCAGGAGCAAGUCCGAGUCCGUCCCGGACCCAGGAUUCAGCGCGGACAAAGUGCGGGCUUACAAAGGGAAGGACGACACCUGUAGACUGAUAGUGAGUGACCUGCAGGUGAGCGACUCUGGGGUGUAUCACUGCGCCAGCUGGGACGGACCACAGCGGCACGCGCGGCGCAGCCCCCCAGCAUAAAAUCUCCUCCGCGAUAGCUGGCGCUUCCAGCCAAGCCCCCAAGUCAGUAAAGGCUGGGCCCCCGGAGCCUUCACUGCACUUCAAGCCCCAGGACAAGCCCGGGAACGUUGGCCAAAUGCUGGAGAGCUGGCGUCCCCGAGAUUGGUGGAACCCACUCCUUCCUCCGCUUACACUCUGCAUGGCACUGCCUUUGAAUUCAAAGCACUUGGGUUCAAAUCCAGCCCUAAUGUGUACUCCUUGUGGAGGAGGGAGCAUCCAGGUAGUACAGUGGAUGGAGGGCUGGGUCUGCAGUCUGAGAGACCCAGACUCAACUCUGACUAGCAAGUCACUUAACCUGUGUUUGCCUCAGUUUCCUCAAAAUGAGAAUAUGAAUAGCACCACUCUCCCAUGGUUGUUGUCAGGAUCAAAUGAGUUAAUAAUAAUAAAGUGCUUAGCAUUGUGCCUGGUACCUAAGUACUUAAUGAAUGGUAAUUUAAAGAAAUUUUUAACUUACCAGCUGUGUGACCCUGAAUAAGUCACUAAACCCCCAAUGCCUAGUCCUCACUACUCUUCUGACUUGGAACCAAUACACAGUAUUGAUUUUAAGAUAAAGGUCAAGGUUAAACAAAAUACAAAUAAAAUUUUAUUUUCUCACAAUUACAUGUACAAGAAAAGUUUAAUAUUCAUUUCAUAAAAAAUUUGAGUCCCAAAUUCUCUCUUUGUCCCACCUUCCUUCCCACCUCUCCCCACUCCUUGAGAUGGUAAGUAAUCUAAUGAAGACUUUACAUAUGUAAUCAUGUAAAAUGAUAAAUGUCCAUUAUUAUUCAUCACUUAAACUCUGGACUCUGUUUCCCCAUCUAUAAAAUAGGGAGGUUGUAUGAAAUGACCAGUGGGGUUCUUUCUUGAUCUAGAUCUUUACUUUUCAAGCCUCUACAUUCCUCAACCUCCCUGAGCCUCAUGAGGUUUCCUCAUAUGUAAAAAGAGGGAGUUGGACUAGAAAAAAUAAUAGCUAAUAUUUAUAUCAUGUUUCAAAUACAUUAUUUUAUUUCAUACUCAUAAUAUCCCUGGGAGGUUUGUGCUAUAAUGAUGCUCAUUCUGUCUGGGGUGGACAUAAGUUAAUGACUUACCCAGGGUCACUGUACUUGUAAGUAUUUGAAGCAGGACUUUGACUCGAGUCUUCCUGACUUCAAAUCUAGCUAUCCCAGAUGACCUCUGCAGUGCCUCCCAACUCUCAGUCUCAAAUCCUGUGAUUUUGAACUUCUCCAAAGAGGAGGUCAAGGAAAGGCUCUUAUCCUAGAUAUCUUUUACUGCAUCGUCCCUCCCUGGUUAGGUCUAGUACUCAAAAGUAGAUUGUUUAUAACCCACCACAAGAGAGAUUGCUUGACUCUGGUGAGUGGUCUGUGGGCACUAGAAGUUGGAGAUGGAAAUCACUUGUGCAGAGAGAGGCCUUUUUCUCUCAUUUCCCCACUAAAACUUACAGUUUCUCAUACCCUCCAUUGCCUCCUUCAUUUCCUGAAUUCCUACCCAUCUUUUGAAGCCCAGCUCACAUACUACCUGCUCCAUCAAGUCCCCCCAAUCUCUUCUGUAGAUAACAAUCUUCCCCUUGAACCUUACAUGGUAAAUGGCUCUGCACCUCUCAAAUUCACUUGGUAAAUUAUGUGAUAUAAGUGGAGUGCCUAUGCAUGAGUGCUAUGAAAGAAGGUAUAACAGGGACAGCAAGUUUUGAAGAUGUCCAUGGGGCAACAUGGGGGAGCUGGGCUAGGAAUAUGGAGGACUUGGAAGAAUCUGGAGAGACAGAUACAGAGACACAAAGAUACAGACAUACAUAUGUAAGGAGAGAAAGAGACAAGACAUACAGAGAGAGAGACAGAGACAGAGAAGGAGGGAGGGAGGGAGAGACAGAGACAGAGACAGAGAGAGACUGAAAGAGACAGAGAGAGAGAGAGAGCAUUUAUUGUUUAUUAUAUUAAAUGCUGAAGCCACAGAAGUAGAAAGAGCAAAUCCCUUCUUAUUGCUGGAUCCAGUUUCUCACUUAAUGCUGCCCAAGGUCAAAUUGCUUUCCUUGGCUACCAUGUUAAUUCAUAUUCAGUGGACUUUAGUACAUUAAAAAUCUCCAACCUUUUCCAGACAAGGUGCUUUCUGGCUGUCUCUCUUAUACCUGUAGAGCUGAUUGUUUAUGCCCAAGUAUAACAAUUUGUUUAUCUCAUCCAGAUUCAUUUUAUUUUAUUCAGCCUUAUAUAUUAACUUCACAAGAGGUUACUGAAUCUUGAUCUUGUUCACCAAUAUGUUGGCUCUCCCUCCAAGCUUGGUGUCAUCUUCAAAUUUAAUUAACAUGCCAUUUAUGCCUUUAUAUACUAUGGGUAAAAAUCUUAAACAGCACCAAUCAUUACACAAAGGCCUGGGGGACUCCACUGAUGACAUCCUUCCCAGAAACAAUUUGUGGCUGGCCAUUGUGGAGAUAAUUUUAGGGUUGUGACUUAAAAUCUAAAUUAAUUAGUCUCCAGGGAAAAUCCCAAAUAAAAUACCCAGGUCAGUCUGGAAAUUUAUGGUAAUUUUAAUUAAUGUAGAGGGAAGGAUUUAAGGAGAAAGAGGGAAGAGGGUGUAGGAUUUCUCCUGCCUGACCUGUGCCAAGGGAAGUUCAAGAUCUCUGCCGCUAGGUCUCUGAAGGAGAUUAGAGGUUUCUAAGAGGAUAAAGUUUGGAAAGUAAAGGAGGAAAAACUCAAUCAGAAACAAACCACCAAACCGGACAAUAGCUGUAGCCACGCCAAGAUGUUCAUUCUUUCUGGGGUGGACAUAAGAUAAGUGAGUUACCCAGGAUCAUUGUACUUGUAAGUAUCUGAAGCAGGAUUUGAACCUGAGUCUUCUUGACUUCAAAUCUAGCUAUCCCAAAUGACCUCUGCAGUGCCUUCCAACUCUCAGUCUCAAAUCCUGUGAUUUUGAACUUCUCCAAAGAGGAGGACAAGGAAAAGACUUUUAUCCUAGAUGUCUUUUUCUACAUUUUUCCUCCCUGGUUAGAUCUAGUGCUCAAAAGUAGAUUGUUUAUCACCCACCACAAGAGAGAUUGCUUGACUCUGGUGAGUGGUCUGUGGGCUCUGGAAGUUGGAGAUGGAAAUCAUUUGUGCAGAGAGAGGCCCUUUUCUCUCAUUUCCCCACUAAAAAUUAUAGCUCCUUAUAUGCUCCCUUGCCUCCUUCAUUUCCUGAAUUCCUACCCAUCUUUUGAAGCCUAGCUCACAUACCACCUCCUCCAUCAAGUCCCCUCAGUCUCUUCUGUAGUUAACAAUCUUAUCCUUGAACCUUACAUGGUAAAUUGCUCUGCACCUCAAAAAUUCACUUGGUAAAUUAUGUGAUAAGUUAGUCAUAUGUGUAUAGUUGACAAUAAAUCUGUGUCACUGUAACAA